GACGAACGCUGGCGGCGGGCUUAACACAUGCAAGUCGAACGGAAAGUCCCCUUUGGGGGUACUCGAGUGGCGAACGGGUGAGUAACACGUGUGUAACCUGCCCUUGUCUUCGGGAUAACUUCAGGAAAGUGGGGCUAAUACCCGAUAGGAAUCCUUGCUGCAUGGUGUGGUUUGGAAAACUUCGGCGGUUUUGGAUGGACUCGCGCCUUAUCAGCUUGUUGGUGAGGUAGUGGCUUACCAAGGCUUUGACGGGUAGCCGGCCUGAGAGGGGGACCGGCCACAUUGGGAAUGCGACACGGCCCAGAAUCAUACGGGAGGCAGCAGUGGGGAAUAUUGCACAAUGGGAGGAAGCCUGAUGCAGCAACGCCGCGCGCGGGAUGAGGGCCUUCGGGUUGUAAACCGCUUACAGCAGGCGCGAAGCUUGUGGUGACGGUACCUUCAGAAGAAGCACCGGCUAACUCCGUG
rnacentral:rRNA from 1 species